AAAAUGGCGAUGAUUAAAAAUUUCCGGAUAUUUCACAAAUUGGAACCCCCGUAUAGCGUUAUAAUUGACAACAAAAACUAUGAAGAAUCGUUACUCUUUGAGUCCAAUGCACUUGCUGUUCUACACUCAAGUGAAGCUGAGCUAGUCAAAAAACAGUAUACCAAAAUAUUGGAUGCAUAUGGAUGUCUCGGAGUUCUGAAUUUUGCUGUCGGGGAAGACAAUGUGUUUUUCCUAGUGCUAGUCACUGGUUGUUUGUCUGUGGGUAAAAUAUGCGAUUCAGAAAUCUUCCGAAUCACGUCGACUCACUUCCUGUCCUUGAGGAAUGGUCAGGGAGACGAGGAGAGGAUCUCAGAGGUCAAGAAGCUCCUAAACUCAGGUACAUUCUACUUUGCCUGGUCAGCAGCUGGGACUACGUGGGACCUGACUCUGUGUGCACAGAGAAAGAUCCAGGAGCACGAUACAGACAAUCGAUUCUUUUGGAACCGCAUGCUGCAUGUUCACUUUCAGAGAUUUGGAAUAGACUGUGAUCGAUGGCUGUUCAAGAUGAUUUGUGGAGGGGUGGAGAUCAGGACCAUAUACGCCUCUCACAGACAGGCCAAGGCCUGCCUGAUAUCACGGCUCAGCUGCGAGAGGGCGGGCACCAGGUUCAACGUCAGAGGGACAAACGAUGAUGGCCAUGUGGCCAAUUUUGUAGAGACAGAACAGGUCGUUUUCCUUGAUGAGAAGAUAUCCUCCUUUAUUCAGACUAGAGGCUCUGUCCCCUUGUUUUGGGAGCAGCCUGGAAUCCAGGUCGGCUCUCAUCGGGUGAGAAUGUCUCGGGGACACGAAGCCUCAGCCCCAGCCUUCGACAGACACCUGAACAUGAUCAAAGACCUGUACGGAGACCAAGUACUGAUCAACCUACUGGGCAAGAAGGAAGGGGAGCACAUGCUGAGUCAGGCCUAUGUGAAACAUCACCAGGCCUCCACAUUUCAUCAGAGAAUUCCAUUGAUCAACUUUGAUUAUCAUACAGAGUGUAGAGGUAAUGCUAAAAACCUGGAUCGGCUGAAACAGAAGGUCCUCAAACAGCUGGUGGACUUUGGGUACUUCUACAGUGUGGACAAUCAGGGAGACAGAUUUCAGUCUGGAACAAUGAGGUCAAACUGUCUGGACUGUCUGGAUAGGACAAACGCUGUCCAGUCCAUGCUGGGUCUGGAGAUGCUGCCUCGUCAGUUGGAAAGUUUAGGACUAGCAGAGAAACAUCAAAUGGUGUCAAGAUUUCUGGACAUUUACCGCCAAAUAUGGAGUGCUAAUGGGGACCAUGUCAGCAGAAUUUAUGCUGGAACUGGUGCUUUAGGAGGGGGCAGAUCAAAGUACUCAGAUGCUGCACGCUCAGCCACUCGUACCAUACAGAAUAACUUCCUCGACAACAGUAAACAGGAAGCAAUAGAUAUUCUGUUGCUGGGGAAUACAUUGAGAGGAGAGUUAGCAGACAAGGCCCGUGCACUUCUUACCACCAGGAUAUUGCAUGCGCCCCCUGCCAUACUCCAGUCCAUGGUCAACGACUAUCCCGACUACACAGAGGUCGAGGAUCUGAGGAUCUUUGUGGGUACCUGGAAUGUGAACGGGGGCAAACACUUCAGGAGCAUCGCACACAAACACGAGUCUGCAUCAGACUGGCUGCUGGAUGCAGCUUCCAUUACCAGAGAGAAAAAUCCAGAGAUGGUUGAUGGUUCUGCAAAUUGGGAAAAGCCUAUAGAUAUAUUUGCCAUUGGCUUUGAAGAAAUUGUUGAUUUGAAUGCCAGUAAUAUUAUGAAAGCCAGUACAACAAAUGCUAGAGAAUGGCAGAAAGAAUUACUGAAGACAAUAUCCAGAGACCACAAGUAUGUGGUGCUGACCAGUGUCCAACUGGUGGGGGUCAUCCUCUACGUAUUCAUACGCCCGCACCUGGCACCCUUCAUAAGGGAUGUUGCAACAGAUUCAGCUAAAACAGGACUAGGCGGAGCGGCAGGUAACAAAGGGGGCGUGGCCAUUCGCUUCCUGUACCAGAGCAGCUCGCUGUGCUUUGUCUGCGCCCAUUUGUCUGCUGGUCAGUCGCAGGUCAACGAUCGCAACAGUGACUACCACGAAAUCUCCCGCAAAAUCUGCUUCCCAAUGGAGCAGUGUAUGGGAAGGACAAUAGGGUCCCACGACUAUGUGUUCUGGUGCGGUGAUUUUAACUACCGGAUAGACCUGCCGCGGGAGGAAACCCUCAGUCUGAUUGAGGCGAAGAACUGGGGCGCGCUCCAGGCCUGUGACCAACUCAAGGUCCAGAAAGAGGCUGGAAAUGUGUUUAAAGGAUUUAAUGAAGGGCCAACCAACUUUGCCCCCACCUACAAGUAUGAUCUAUUUUGUAACGACUACGACUCCAGCGAGAAGUGUCGAUGUCCCGCGUGGACAGACCGCGUGUUGAUGAGGAGGAAACGACUCAUCCACCAUCAGCCACAGUUGUUAGAGAAUGGACCAGUGUGGAACCCUGGGAAAUUGUUGUUGUACAACAGAGUAGAACUGAAGACAUCAGACCACAGACCAGUGCUGGCUCUUUACGACAUUGACACGAUGAAAGUGGAGGACAAGAAGAAGGAGCAGAAGCUACAGGAAGUGGUCGCUUGUCAGGGACCGCCAGAUGGCACUGUCAUCGUGUCGGUGGAGGCUGAGGAAAUGGAGCAAGAUCUAGUGGAGGCCAUCGUCCACUUCUUCUCAGACGUUGGAGAAAUCGUACUUGUCAGAUUUGUGGAGAAUGACUUGUGGCUGAUUUUUAAGAAUGGACAGUUUGCAUUAAAAGCUUUGAACUAUGAUGGCUCUGAGAUUAAUGGGACCACAAUAAGAACUCGUCUGAAGACAGAGAACUGGCAGGCCCAGAUACAGGAGGAGCUAAAGAUCUGUGUGGUGAACACCACCCCCCUCUACAACCAGUUCUCCAACAGUCUGCUGGGCGAGGACUUCAACACGCCUGCCAUGGAGUUUGAAUCAGAGGAAGAUGAUGACACAGAGAUACAGGAUUCUCUGUUGGACACCCGCAUGGACCAGAUUCGACCCAGUUCUCCCAAUGGGUCGGGACGAUUCAGUCCGUACUCAGAUGAUGGCUUUUUAGACCAACCCUCUGGUCCCCCUCCUAGGCCCCAGGCAAUAAACAAGCCCCCCAUUCCAGCCUCAGCCUCCAACAGAGAGUCACCUGAUCCAUUCACCAGUCAGGCCAAGACAUCAGGACAAGAGCCUGGAUUUCGACCAAAUCCUCCACAGCGCCCCUCAGGACCCCCAGCCAAACCACCACCUCCACAGCGACCAAAAGCACCCCCUGUCAAGUCGACUGGGGCCGCAGAGAAAGCCAACGAUAAUGAUGUCAAAAGACCCCCUCCCAUUGUGAGAAAGCCCAUGAGCUCCCAGAGUAUCAAGAGAAUCAAGACAAAACAAGAGGACACCAAGAUGCAAGCAAUGAGUAUAGGUCUUCCAACAAAUGUGACCCAUCAGGGACAUGCUACUUCAAUAGAGGAUGCCCAGUCUCUGAUUGAGAAGCUGAUGGUUGGGAGAGGAACAUCAUUACCCCCUCCAUUGUUACCCGAAUCUGACAAUAAAAUGACCAGGAGUCAAAAAGAGGCUCCGGAGACAAAAAAACCUGAAGUAGAUGCACCAAGGCCUGUGCCAAGGAACAAGAAUCCCGGGACAUCCCCCACAGAGGCCCUCCAGCACCCUAGGGACAGUCCCCCUGGUGUACAGCCCCGGGCAGAACUACGCCCUGUCCCAGCACCCAGGAGGGAGGUACAGAGUAUGGCCAUCAAUGAAGUGGGGCAACCGAAGCCCUCCAGGGGCCCCCCUCCUGUUCCACCCACUCGACCCCAGAGUUGGGUGCCCACCUCUCAGAGUGUGCCAGAGGAUCAGGCCUAUGCAGUUGUAAAUAAGCAGAUGAAAUCUAUUCCUAAAAGUGCUAGUCAAAAUCUAAUAGAUGCCCCUUUGUCAUCAGAGGCUGGACAGGUAGAGAAAAACGACCCGUUUGAUACUUCAAGUGUACCUAGUCAGUUUCUUAAUCAGGGGCCAAACUCUUCAGUUACACCACCCCAAAGGGUGAAUAGACCUCCACCCCCUGUACCCUCGCGACAAGUGUUCAACAACCCGGAUCUCACUUCCAGUGCUUCCUCACACAGUAACCCAGACCAAUGGGGUAGUAGUCAAAGCCAUUCAGAAAAUGGAUCCAAUUCUCCACCUAGCCCUUCCUUCAGCCCUCCUGAAGUUCCAUCAUUUGAUUCCACACCAGGGCAAUAUUCACAUCAGGGACCUCCCUCUGAAUCUCCACCCAAUGUACCCUCUAGUGUAGGACCCCCUACUGAAUCACCACCCCCUCCUCCAUCCGAAUCCCCACCCCCUCUUCCUUCAGAUGGCCCCCCUCUAGAAGCCCCACCCCCUUUCCCUUCAGAAGGCCCCCCUUUAGAGCCCCCACCACCCCUGCCCUCUAAUGGUCCUCCAUCUGAACCCCCACCCCCUCCCCCUGCAGAUGAUGAUGAGGAUCAGUUUGCAGAGUUUAAGGCCAAUUUUAAUAGCUUUCAAAAUUCUACAAAUGAGACCGCUAAAAAUGCUAGUCUACCAGUGACCCAAAGAUUGCCCAACAAUGGAGCAGUUCCUAAUAGACCAAUGCCCCCUGUACCCUCUCGUGGGCCCGCCACUGGCAUGCCCCCUGUUCCAAGACGACCAGCAAACUUACCCCCUGUACCCCCAAGGUCUUAGAGCAAAUUUUAGUAAGAAUAUAUGUGUAUAAUGAAAAUACAGGGAGAUCCACUCAAGCUCCUGAACGAUGUUCAAUGUUUAUAUCUGCUUAAUACUACCUGUCUACAUACGUGUAUGUACAAGGUAUGUACUGGUGCAUGUUUGUGUAUUUCUAGGGCAAAUUAUGCUCACCUAGACUAGAUCAUGCACUGUUUAUCAGUCUUUAUUUCCACAGUCAGGUUUUUUUCUCAAUAUGAAAACGUUUUUUAAGUUUGUAGAUUUUAAUGUGUUAUGUGGUAGAACCACAAUGUAGACUGUGAUAUCCUAGAACUGGUCAUUGAAUCAUAUCAAAUGAUUAUAUAUGGAGCAUUUGUUAUCUAUCAGACUUUUUUUUCUGCAGAUGCUUGUUUAUUAGAAGUUAAGGUGUUUUUAUGUAUGUUGUUAAAAUAUUUUGCCACAAGUCUUACCCAGGUCUUCAGAGAAAAACUGUUAAAAUGUCCUCAUUUAAGAGUCAUUUAUUUGGGAUUAAUACUUCAUGUACCGGUAUACUUAAGAUUUCUACCACUAGUCAACGUAAUGCUUUUUAAUGCAAAACAGACGUUUAUUGUUACACAUGCAUUAGUAUUUAGAGCAAAAUAAAGAGAACAUGUAAUGAAAUGUAUCAGAAUGUUUAACAUAUUCACUAAUGUAUUUGAACAUGUAUCUGACAGGGAAAGUUGCAUCUUUUCAAUUCAUAUAUAGGUAGAAGUUUUCUCAACAG
rnacentral:sRNA from 1 species